GCGGCGCGGUGCCUGCUCAUUCAGCCAGGCGGGAUCCCAAGAGUUGCAAGGAAGGGAGCCGCGCCCUCCCCUCCCCACGUCGUGCGGAAGCCAUUGCACAGACAGAUCCCCCGCAGAUGGUCCUAAGUCUGAAAAUGCUGAAGACUGCUGAGGUAGAAGAUGAGUGCAGGAAUUAAUGGAGCCUAUUGCACUGGGAACACCAAGCUGCCUACUCUCCCCAAGACUGUCAUUUCCAGCUUCCUCCCUCUUAAUCAUGGCUUGCAUAAAUGCAGUUUAGAAAGCAAGUGACUAUGUUAGGCAGAAUAGGAUGGAGUAGCUAACCAUGGCUCAGCAUUCUUAUUUGAGCGCCCUUAUAUAGCUAGCGAUCAAAGUCUUCAAACAAAUCUGCUGGACUGGACAUGAAAGGACUUGAUGACAAUAGUUGGGUUGAUGUAGAGGAAUUCAGGCUCUUCGACUGGAGACCAGACCAAAAACAGGCAUAGAGAACAGCCUUAAGAAAUUUAUUGGAGAUUGAUACACAAAGAGAAGUCAGUCCCACCAGGGUGCCUGGAGGAAGAGUUGUCACAGUAGUGCAGUUUUUCAUAAGCAUUUUAUAUCAAGAGAUAAACAACUAUUGCAAUUUCACAAAUUUCUUGCAAGAGAUUACAUUUUGGCAGUUA